UGGGGAAUCUUGCGCAAUGCGCGAAAGCGUGACGCAGCAACGCCGCGUGCGGGAAGACGGCCUUCGGGUUGUAAACCGCUUUCAGUUGGGACGAAGCCAGUACGGUGAAUAGCCGGCGCUGGUGACGGUACCUUCAGAAGAAGCCCCGGCUAACUACGUGCCAGCAGCCGCGGUAAUACGUAGGGGGCAAGCGUUGUCCGGAAUCAUUGGGCGUAAAGCGCGUGUAGGCGGCUGGGUAAGUCCGCUCUGAAAGCCCGGGGCUCAACCCCGGGAGGCGGGUGGAUACUGUCAAGCUCGAGUCCGGAAGAGGCGAGUGGAAUUCCUGGUGUAGCGGUGAAAUGCGCAGAUAUCAGGAGGAACACCAAUGGCGAAGGCAGCUCGCUGGGACGUGACUGACGCUGAGACGCGAAAGCGUGGGGAGCAAACA
rnacentral:rRNA from 1 species